rnacentral:rRNA from 1 species
CCUACGGGAGGCAGCAGUGAGGAAUAUUGGUCAAUGGGCGCGAGCCUGAACCAGCCAAGUCGCGUGAAGGAUGACUGCCCUACGGGUUGUAAACUUCUUUUAUCAAGGAAUAAAGUGAGGCACGUGUGCCUUUUUGUAUGGACUUUAUGAAUAAGGAACGGCCAACUCCGGUCCAGCAGCCGCGGUAAUACGGAGGGUCCGAGCGUUAUCCGGAUUUAUUGGGUUUAAAGGGAGCGGAGAUGGGUUGUUAAGUCAGGUGUGAAAGUUUGCGGCUCAACCGUAAAAGUGCAAUUGAUACUGGCAGUCUUGAGUACAGUAGAGGUAGGCGGAAUUCGUGGGGUAGCGGUGAAAUGCUUAGAUAUCACGAAGAACUCCGAUUGCGAAGGCAGCUUACUAAACUGCCACUGACAUUGAGGCUCGAAAGUGUGGGUAUCAAAAAGGAUUAGAUACCCCAGUAGUC